UAUACUGAGACGGCGUGUUCAUCCCGAGAAAGAAAGUCAAAGUUAGUGUUCAAUACUUCGUUAUUGACCAGAAGAAAUGUCGCACAUUUACUACCUACAUUAGUGUAGUUAUGGUGGCUUGCUUAGCCCAUGGGCUGUGAUGUCUGUGAACGAGGAACAAUAAGUGUGAUCUGAUGUACAGCUCCUUCAGUCUGUAGCAUGAGCCAUUGGUUCGUACUAUUAAGUUCUUCAGAUUAAAGCUUCCCCCGGGUAUUACAUAAUUUCGUGAAUUGUUGCGUUGGGAUGAAAGGAAAUGCCGAAUUCUGUUGCAUUUGCUGCGGCCAUUUAGUGUGCUUCGAGCAUUCACCUAUUCCUACCGCUCUACAGAUCGCUAAAUCGUGUAUUGACAGAAGAACAUAGUAAUAGGCGUGUUUCAGUGUACUUUCGUAAAAACAUUUAGCAACAGGGUUUUGGAGUGUGUAACAAACGAAGUAGGUUCAGUGAGAUCUGCUAGUACGUGUAUUUUUCACUAAGUGCAUUAUUCGAUAUCAGAGAAUAGAAGAUUCGUCAUCAGUGGUACGCACGUCAGAGAAAACGUAGGCCUAUACAAGACUAUAGUCCUGGACAAUUUGAAAACCAUUUCAGUCAAAGAAGAAAAAACAGAUGAGAUGUGUGCUAAGCCAGACACCAUGAAGUGACUGUAAUGGCAGAGAUGAAAGCUGAGAGAGGGAGUUUUGUGAGCGACCUGCGCAUGCUGCUGGAAGCUUAAAAUGGCGCAGACGUGACUCUGGCGCCCAGGGGCUCGGAGCAGUCAGCACAGUCACAUCUUGGCAGGGAGGAGCCCCGUCUUCGACGCCAUGUUGUGUUUCUUGCAUGUCACUUCACAACAUAGCUGCGAACACGGGGCUUCUUGCUGGCAUGUCGCAGAUUGAGAUGCAAGAAGCAUGCAGCCACUUAGCAGAGGUAACUGACAUAAGAGAAGCUCCCUUACAGCAGUUGUGAAACAGUCCCUAACUCUACCGUAGCCUGCAUUAUAGUCAAGCAACACUGUGGACUGAACUGUCCAAAAUAACAGCAAGUGUGUUACAUUGGGAUAUGGAGUAUCUUGCGUGGAUUAUUUUGCCAUCUCUUGACCCUGAAUAUUUAUAAAAGAACCAACUCGCGAUAAUAAAAAACUACACAUCUUUCAUUAAUUGCAGCUAAAGGAUAAUUUGAAACAUAAUACAAAAACUAAAUAUCAUAAUGUCAAUCAGAUUCAUUUAGGACUAAUAAUUCUUUUUCAUAUUUCCCUUUGUGAUAUCAUACACCGAAGAGCCAAAGAAAUUGGUACACCUGCUUAAUAUCUUUUAGGGCUCUCAAGAGCAUGCAAAUGCGCUGCAGCAUGACAUGGCGUGGACUACACUAACAUCUGUAGUAGUGCUCGACAGAACUGACACCACGAAUGUUGCACGGCUGUCCAUAAGAGUGUAAGGGGUGGAAAUCUCUUCUGAACAGCACGUUGCAAGGCAUCCCAGAUACGCUCAGUGUUCAUCUCUGAGAAGUUUGAUGGCCAGCAGAAGUGUUUAAACUCGGAAGAGUGUUCCUGGAGCCACUCUAGCAAUUCUGUUUGUGUGGGGUGUCACAUUGUCCUGAUGGAACUGCUAAAGUCUAUCGGAAUGCACAAUAGACACAAAUGGAUGCAGGUAAUCAGACAGGAUGCUUACUUACAUGUCACCUGUUAUAAUUGAUGCACCGGGGGCCCCAUAUCACUUCAACUGCAUAUGCCCCACACCAUUAGAGAGCUUCCAUCAGCUUGAACAGUCCCCUGCUGACAUGCAGGGUCCAUGGUUUCAUGUCUCCAUACACGUCCAUCAGAUCGAUAAGACUUGAAACGUCCAACUAGGCAAUGUGUUUCAAGUCAUAAACAGUCUGUCAGUGUUGUCAGGCCCAGGCGAGCGUGAAGCUUUGUUGAGGGCCCAGCAUUGAAAUCUGCAGCAAUUUGUGGAAGGGUUACACCUCAGUCACCUUGAAUGAUCCUCUCCAGUUGUCUUUGGUCCCAUUCUUGCAGUAUCUUAUUCCAGCCACAGAGAUUUGAUGUUUUACCGAAUCCCUGAUAUUCACAGUAUACACAUGAAAUGGUCUUUUGGGAAAAUCCCCGAUUCGUCUCGGAGACGCUGUCCCAACGGUCGUCACCCGACUAUAACACCAUGUUCAAACUCACUUAAAUCUUGAUAACCUGCCAUUGUAGCAGCAGUAACAGAUCUAACAACUGCACCAGACACUUGUUGCCUUAAAUAGGCGUUGCUGACUGUAGCGUCGUAAUCUACCUGUUUACAUAUCUCUGUAUUUGAAUACACAUGCCUAUUCAAGUUUCUUUGGUGCUUCAGUGUACAUCUAGCAACAGCCAAAUCCAAAAGCGUCAAUGGAGAGCUUACUAAGAGUGUAGUUCUCCUGCUCGUCAACAAACAAAAUUACUCAGAUGUGCUGUAAUAUGUUAAUUUGUCUUUAAGUUUAAUUGAUGUUGGUCAACUUCACCAUGAGGAAAGUAAAGUUGCCCGGUCAUUGCAAGAGCGAAGCUGUGUGCAGGUGUAGAUAUACCUGCAGUUGCAGGGAGUGAGAAAUGUUUUUUGUGCUGCCAACUCAUAGGCAUGUAUGCCUCAUACAGAUCAGCUGCUAUUGUAUAAAUUUGAAAUGGAAGUAACAUGACUUCGCCAUUGUGCAUUACAGAGGCUGUCCCCUUCAAAUGUGAUACAUACUUGUAGCAAGGAAUAUGAAAUAAAAUUGACACUAUUCCGAUACAUUAUUCUGUUUUCUUUUUUUUUUUUUUUAAUCUUUAUUAUCUGUAUAUGCAAUAUCAUGUUGUCUGCAUGCAUCAUCUAGACGAUUUAUUCCUUGAACGCCUUCAGCUAAUCUUUUUUCUGAUUUUGUUCCUGGACCACAACAAUUAUGACCAGAGGUAUGCAUUUUGAAUGGUAAUUUAUUAAUUAAAGUAUUAACUAAUACUUUUCCAUAUUAUACAUUUUCCUAAAAUGUAUGUGACAA